GCUGGGUGUGAUGGUGCAUGCCUGUAGUCCCAGCUACUCAGGAGGCUGAGGCAGGAGGAUCACAAGUUUGAGGACAGACUUGUCAACUUGGAGAGACCCUAUCUCCA
rnacentral:sRNA from 1 species